rnacentral:rRNA from 1 species
GAUGAACGCUGGCGGCGUGCCUAAUACAUGCAAGUCGAACGGGAAGCUAUCCUUCGGGAUAGUGGAGAGUGGCGCCCGGGUGAGUAACACGUAGCUGAUCUGCCCUUCGCAGGGGGAUAACAUCGAGAAAUCGGUGCUAAUACCGCGUACGCUUAUGGGAUUUAGAACCCCAUAAGGAAAGCUCCGGCGGCGAAGGAGGAGGCUGCGUUCCAUCAGCUAGUUGGUGUGGUAAAAGCGCACCAAGGCGACGACGGAUAGGGGACCUGAGAGGGUGACCCCCCACACUGGUACUGACACACGGACCAGACUCCUACGGGAGGCAGCAGUAAGGAAUAUUGCGCAAUGGAGGCAACUCUGACGCAGCAACGCCGCGUGCGGGAAGAAGGUUUUCGGAUCGUAAACCGCUUUUUUGCCGGAAGAGAACGGACGGUACGGCAAGAAUAAGUCUCGGCUAACUACG